CGCGUAGGCGGUUUAUCAAGUUGGGCGUGAAAGCCCGGGGCUCAACCCCGGAACUGCGUUCAAAACUGGUUGACUAGAGUCCGAGAGAGGGUGGUGGAAUUCCCAGUGUAGAGGUGAAAUUCGUAGAUAUUGGGAAGAACACCAGUGGCGAAGGCGGCCACCUGGCUCGGUACUGACGCUGAGGUGCGAAAGCGUGGGGAGCAAACA
rnacentral:rRNA from 1 species